rnacentral:rRNA from 1 species
GACGAACGCUGGCGGCGUGCCUAAUACAUGCAAGUCGAGCGGACAGAAGGGAGCUUGCUCCCGGAAGUUAGCGGCGGACGGGUGAGUAACACGUGGGCAACCUACCCUGUAGAUCGGGAUAACAUCGAGAAAUCGGUGCUAAUACCGGAUAAUCAUUUGAAGUGCAUGCUUCGAAUGUAAAAGAUGGCUCCGGCUAUCACUACGGGAUGGGCCCGCGGCGCAUUAGCUGGUUGGUAAGGUAAUGGCUUACCAAGGCAACGAUGCGUAGCCGGCCUGAGAGGGUGAUCGGCCACACUGGGACUGAGACACGGCCCAGACUCCUACGGGAGGCAGCAGUAGGGAAUCUUCCGCAAUGGACGAAAGUCUGACGGAGCAACGCCGCGUGAGUGAUGUAGGUUUUCGGACCGUAAAGCUCUGUUGUUAGGGAAGAACAAGUGCCGUUUGAAUAAGGCGGCACCUUGACGGUACCUAACCAGAAAGCCACGGCUAACUACGUGCCAGCAGCCGCCGUAACAC